rnacentral:sRNA from 1 species
UUCUUAGCAAUGUUGCCAAACACCAACUGGACCUCAAAUAAAAAUAUCAUAAGAUACCAUAAGGAUCAAAAGUUAUUCUCGCAAAAUAAUAAUAAUAUUCUGCAAAUAUUACAAAUGGCCCUAUAGGUAGACGCUGGAGGGUUAACAUGUUCAACAAAAAUUUUCCUUAGAACAUUUUUAACAAUGUUGCCAAACACCACCUCGACCUCAAAUAAAAGUAUCAUAAGAUACCAGAAGGAUCAAAAGUUAUCCUAGAAAAAUAAUUGUAAAAUUGUUCAAAAAUUGCAAAUAUUACAAAUGACCCCUUUGGAAAGGCGCCAGAGGGUUAACAUGUUCUACAAAAAUGUUCCUUAAAGAGUUCUUAGCAAUGUUGCCAAACACCAACUGGACCUCAAAUAAAAAUAUCAUAAGAUACCAUAAGGAUCAAAAGCUAUUCUCGCAAAAUAAUAAUAAUAUUCUGCAAAUAUUGGCCCUAUAGGCAGGCGCUGGAGGUUUAACAUGUUUCACAAAAAUGUUCCUUAGAACAUUCUUAACAAUGUUGCCAAACACCACCUCGACCUCAAAUAAAAGUAUCAUAAGAUACCAGAAGGAUCAAAAGUUAUCCUAGAAAAAUAAUUGUAAAAUUUUUAAAGAUGCAAUAUUUACAAAUGGCCUAAAAUGACUCCUUUAGAAAGGCGCUGGAGGUUUAACAUGUUCAGAAAAAAUGAUCCUCAGAGUGUUCUUAGCAAUGUUGCCAAACACCAACUGGACCUCAAACAAAAGUAUCAUAAGAUACCAUACGGAUCAAAAGUUAUCCUAGAAAAAUAAUGGCGAUAUUGUUUAAAAACUGCAAAUAUUACAAAUGGCCUAAAAUGAUCCCUCUAGAAAGGCACCAGAGUGUUGAGAUGUUCUACAAAAAUGUUCCUCAAACUGUUGAUAGCAAUGUUGGUAAGCAACAUCUGGACCUAAAAUCAAAGGAUCGCAAGGUGUCCUAUGGUAACUCAUUGUAAAAAAAAAGUUCAAAAAAUGAAGAUAAUUAAAAGGGACCAAAAUGACCCAUUCGGAAAAGAGCUAGAGGUUCAAGAUGUUCUACCAAAAGGUUCGUAAGAGGGCUGUUAUAAAUAAUGUCGAACACGGUCUGGAUCUAAACCCAAGAGAUCCCAAUAUAUCAUGGCAAAAUUGGUGUAAAUAAGUUCAAAAAAUGCAAACAAUUUAAAAGGACUUGAAAGACCCAUUUAGAACAGAGCCAGAGGGUUAACAUGUUCUACAAAAAUGUACCUUAGAGUAUUGUUAGCAACGUUGCCAAACACUAUCUGGACCUUAAAUUGAAGCAUCGUGAGAUACCCCAUGCUAACUUAUUGCAGAACUUUUUGAAAUGUGUAAAUAAUACAAAGGUGCUAAAAUGACCCCUCCAAAAAGGAGCUAGGGGUUUACAUAUUCAACAUAAAUGUUCGUAAGAAGGUUGUUUGCAAUAAUUUCGAACAUAGUCUGGGCCUAAACUCAAGAGAUUCCAAGAUAUCAUGGCAAAAUUGGUGUAGAUUAGUUAAAAAUGUAAACAAUUUAAAAGGACUAAAAAGAACGGAGCUAGAGGGUUAACUUGUUCUACAAAAAUGUACCUUAAAAUAUGUUACUGAACACUAUCUGGACCUAAAAUUGAAGGAUCGUGAGAUACUCCAUGCCAACUCAUUGUAAAAUUUUUUGAAAUGUGUAAAUAUUAUAAAGGUUCUCAAAUGGCCCCUUUCGAAUGGAACUGGAGGGUUAACAUACUGAACAAAAAUGUUCACAAGAGGGCUGAUAGCAAUAAUUUUGAAUAUUAUCAGAAUCUAAUUCCAAUUAUCAUAAAAUAUAAAGGCUGAUUCAUUGUAAAAUAGUUCAAAAGUUGCAUACAAUUCAAAAGGACUAAAAAGACCCAUUUAGAAAGGAGCUAGAGGGUUAACAUGUUCAGCAAAAAUGUUCCUUAGAGUGUUCCUAGCAAUGUUCCUAUACACCAUCUGGACCUCAAAUCAAAGGAUCACUGGUAAUCCCAUACCAACUAAAUUUAAACUAGUUC